rnacentral:tRNA from 1 species
GCCACUUUUGCUAUGUGGUUGGAGCAUUGGCCUGCAGACCCAAGGGUCGCGGGUUUGAUUCCCGGUCAAGGGCA